GAAAGGAGAGAAGGGCGCAUGAAGGAUGCCUUGGCUCUCGGAGGCGACGAAGGACGUGACAAGCUGCGAUAAGCCGCGCGUAGAGGCAAAUACUCAUUGAUGCGCGGAUUUCCGAAUGGGGCAACCCGCCGGAAGCGAUUCCGGCACCUGACCAAGUCAGGGGCGAACCCGGGGAACUGAAACAUCUAAGUACCCGGAGGAAAAGAAAACAAACCAGUGAUAGCGCAAGUAGCGGCGAGCGAACGCGCCAGAGCCCAAACCCGGGCCGUUGCAAAGCGGCGCCGGGGGUAGUAGGACCGUCGACAAAGCGAUCAUCGAAAGUUAGCAGAACCUUCUGGAAAGGAGGGCCGAAGCGGGUGAAAGCCCCGUAAGCGAAAACCCAAGAUGGAGCGAGACGGCACCUGAGUAAGCCGGAACACGAGAAAUUCUGGCCGAAUCCGCGGGGACCAUCCCGUAAGGCUAAAUACUACCGAGAGACCGAUAGCGAACCAGUACCGUGAGGGAAAGGUGAAAAGGACCUCGAACAGAGGAGUGAAACAGACCCUGAAAUCAUGCGCCUACAAGCGGUCGGAGCCACUGCGUGUGGUGACGGCGUGCCUUUUGCAUAAUGAUCCUACGAGUUGCCAUCGCCGGCGAGGCUAAGUGCCACAGGCACGGAGCCGAAGCGAAAGCGAGUCCGAAGAGGGCGCGUAGUCGGCGGGGGCAGACGCGAAACCAAGUGAUCUACCCUUGGGCAGGUUGAAGGUGAGGUAACACUCACUGGAGGACCGAACCGGUAAGCGUUGAAAAGCUUUCGGAUGACCUGAGGGUAGGAGUGAAAGGCCAAUCAAACUUGGAGAUAGCUCGUACUCCCCGAAAUGCAUUUAGGUGCAGCCUCGGGGUCAAUACCGCGGAGGUAGAGCGACUGAUAGGAUGCGAGGGCUUCACCGCCUGUCAAGUCCUGACAAACUCCGAAUGCCGGUAAUUUUACAACGGGAGAAAGGGCGUGGGUGCUAAGGUCCACGCCCGAGAGGAGAAGAAUCCGGACCGUCGGCUAAGGUCCCGGAGUGCAUGUUAAGUUAGUCUAACGAGGUGCGGCCCCCGCGACAGCUAGGAUGUUGGCUUGGAAGCAGCCAUUCAUUCAAAGAGUGCGUAACAGCUCACUAGUCGAGGGUCUGCGCGUGGAUAAUAAUCGGGUAUGAAACAUGCCGCCGAAGCCACGGGAUUCACUAUUAUUUAGUGGAUCGGUAGGGGAGCAUUCCAUUUUCGGUGAAGGUAUUCCGUGAGGAGUGCUGGAGAUCAUGGAAAAGCAAAUGUAGGUAUAAGUAACGAUAAGGGGGGUGGGAUGCCCCCCCGCCGUAAGGUCAAGGUUUCCUGAACAACGUUAAUCGGUUCAGGGUUAGCCGGGUCCUAAGGAUAAGCCGAAGGGCGAAGCCGACGGAUGAAACGGUUAAUAUUCCGUUGCCGGCUUAUAUAAGUGAUGCGGUGAAGGAGCAGUGAAACUCUCGCGCCCUGACGGAACAGGGCGUUGAAGCACGAAGGCGUUAUGGUUCCGUAGUAAAGUACGCGGGAUUAGUCGAAGUGCGACAGUACGCAGACCCUUCGGGGCGAGCGACAGUAGAGGUAAUGGCUUCCGAGAAAACCCGCUAAACGUUAAUAUAUAAGCCGCCCGUACUGUAAACGGACACACGUGACCGGGUAGAACAUACUAAGGCGCUAGGGAGACUCACGGUUAAGGAACUAGGCAAAAUGACCCUGUAACUUCGGGAGAAAGGGUCCUGCGGUGCGAGCCGCAGGCGCAGAGAAAAGGUCCAGGCAACUGUUUACCAAAAACACAGGGCUGUGCGAAGUAUAAAGACGACGUAUACAGCCUGACACCUGCCCGGUGCCGGAAGGUUAAGAGGAGGUCUCAGCAACUUCUGUUGUGAAGGUCCGAAUUGAAGCCCCGGUAAACGGCGGCCGUAACUAUAACGGUCCUAAGGUAGCGAAAUUCCUUGUCGGGUAAGUUCCGACCUGCACGAAUGGCGUAACGAUCUCCACACUGUCUCGGCCAGAGACUCGGUGAAAUUGAAGUCGCGGUGAAAAUGCCGUGUACCCGCAGAAAGACGGAAAGACCCUGUGCACCUUUACUAUAGCUUGACAUUGGGAUUUGAGCCUGCAUGUGUAGCAUAGGUGGGAGCCUGUGAACUCUGUACGCCAGUAUGGAGGGAGGCAACGUUGAAAUACCACCCUUGUUUGUUCAGGUCCCUAACGACGCGCCGUGAUCCGGCCGUUGGACAGUGUCUGGUGGGUAGUUUGACUGGGGCGGUCGCCUCCCAAAAAGUAACGGAGGCAUGCAAAGGUUCCCUCAGGCUGAUUGGAAACCAGCCGUCGAGUGCAAACGCAAAAGGGAGCUUGACUACAAGAGAGACAUCUCGAGCAGGUACGAAAGUAGGUGUUAGUGAUCCGG
rnacentral:rRNA from 1 species